rnacentral:snoRNA from 1 species
GCAGCCAGUGAUGAGGAUAUCUCCCACUAGUGUUCGAGUUCCCCAACCAUGAGAUGACUCCACAUGCACUACCAUCUGAGGCUGC